GUUUGAACUGAGUGUUCGACGGUUAAUCUUGCGCUGCUUCACUUUCUUCAUUUGUUUCCACAUCUGCAGCUGCUGGAUCCUCCAGAAAUGUUGCUGCAGAGUCAGAGAUGUGCUGCUGAAAAGUCACGUACAUCACUGGAGUCCCUGUAACAGCCUAUGCUCGCUGAGGUCCAUGUCAAGGCCAUUGCCUCCCUGAGGUCCCUGUCUUAGCCAACACUCCCUAAGGUCCCUGUGAUGGCCAAUGCCGCUUGAGGUCUCCCCUGUCAUGACCACAGCUUCCUGAGGUCCCUGUCACAGGCUGAGCGCCUAAGGUCCCUUUCAUUACCGCCAUCCAAAUAUGCCAACUUACUUGGCUGCUGACAAUAUAGUGCUGGCAAAGUGUUCCUGAGUCCAGUUAUCUGUCCUUGAGCCUCUGCUAGAAAACAUAGUACAAGAGCCACAACCCAGGUCCUCCUCAGCGCCACAGCCCAGACAUCCCUCAGUACUGCGGCUGCAGUACAGGCACCCGUCAGCGCUGCUGCGUCAGUCCAGGCACCCCUCAGCGCCGCGGCCACAGGUACCCCUCAGUGCACAGGUAAAGCCCAAGCAGCCCUAAGUUCAGCUGGCACAUCCCAGGCCCCUUCAGUGCCAUGCAUGACCACGGGACCAUCUCAGUGUCAUAUUCAGGCCAGUUGCUAAGGGGGGUUGUAGAGUACAGGUACGGGUUUUGGAGUGCAGGUAAGAGUUGUAGACUAAAG
ensembl:lncRNA